GGCUUCAUAGCUCAGUUGGUAGAGCAUCGCACCGGAAUCGCGGAGGUCAUGGGUUCGAUUCCCGUUGAAGCUU
rnacentral:tRNA from 1 species